rnacentral:tRNA from 1 species
AUUGCCGUAGCCGAGUGGUUAAGGCUAUAGACUAGAAAUCUAUUGGGAUUUUCGCCGCCAAGGUUCGAAUCCUGCCGACGACG